rnacentral:rRNA from 1 species
AGAAAUUCCAAUCGAACCUGGAGAUAGCUGGUUCUCUCCGAAAUAGCUUUAGGGCUAGCCUCAAGUGAUGAUUAUUGGAGGUAGAGCACUGUUUGGACGAGGGGCCCCUCUCGGGUUACCGAAUUCAGACAAACUCCGAAUGCCAAUUAAUUUAACUUGGGAGUCAGAACAUGGGUGAUAAGGUCCGUGUUCGAAAGGGAAACAGCCCAGACCACCAGCUAAGGUCCCAAAAUAUAUGUUAAGUGGAAAAGGAUGUGGCGUUGCCCAGACAACUAGGAUGUUGGCUUAGAAGCAGCCAUCAUUUAAAGAGUGCGUAAUAGCUCACUAGUCGAGUGACACUGCGCCGAAAAUGUACCGGGGCUAAACAUAUUACCGAAGCUGUGGAUUGUCCUUUGGACAAUGGUAGGAGAGCGUUCUAAGGGCGUUGAAGCAUGAUCGUAAGGACAUGUGGAGCGCUUAGAAGUGAGAAUGCCGGUGUGAGUAGCGAAAGACGGGUGAGAAUCCCGUCCACCGAUUGACUAAGGUUUCCAGAGGAAGGCUCGUCCGCUCUGGGUUAGUCGGGUCCUAAGCUGAGGCCGACAGGCGUAGGCGAUGGAUAACAGGUUGAUAUUCCUGUACCACCUAUAAUCGUUUUAAUCGAUGGGGGGACGCAGUAGGAUA